rnacentral:rRNA from 1 species
CCUACGGGAGGCAGCAGUGGGGAAUAUUGCACAAUGGGGGAAACCCUGAUGCAGCGACGCCGCGUGAGUGAAGAAGUAAUUCGUUACGUAAAGCUCUAUCAGCAGGGAAGAAAUACUGACCUUACGGUCAGCAGACGGUACCUGAGUAAGAAGCACCGGCUAACUACGUGCCAGUAGCCGCGGUAAUACGGAGGGGGCAAGCGUUAUCCGGAUUUACUGGGUGUAAAGGGAGCGUAGGCGGUGCGGCAAGUCUGGAGUGAAAUGCCGCAGCUUAACUGGGGAACUGCUUUGGAAACUGGCUAACUAGAGUGCGGGAGGGGUAAGCGGAAUGCCUAGUGUAGCGGUGAAAUGCGUAGAUAUUAGACGGAACACCGGUGGCGAAGGCGGCUUACUGGACCGUAACUGACGUUGAGGCUCGAAAGCGUGGGUAGCAAACAGGAUUAGAUACCCUGGUAGUC